GAUGAACGCUGGCGGCGUGCCUAAUACAUGCAAGUCGAGCGAACGGACGAGAAGCUUGCUUUUCUGAUGUUAGCGGCGGACGGGUGAGUAACACGUGGAUAACCUACCUAUAAGACUGGGAUAACUUCGGGAAACCGGAGCUAAUACCGGAUAAUAUUUUGAACCGCAUGGUUCAUAAGUGAAAGACGGUCUUGCUGUCACUUAUAGAUGGAUCCGCGCUGCAUUAGCUAGUUGGUAAGGUAACGGCUUACCAAGGCAACGAUGCAUAGCCGACCUGAGAGGGUGAUCGGCCACACUGGAACUGAGACACGGUCCAGACUCCUACGGGGGGCAGCAGUAGGGAAUCUUCCGCAAUGGGCGAAAGCCUGACGGAGCAACGCCGCGUGAGUGAUGAAGGUCUUCGGAUCGUAAAACUCUGUUAUUAGGGAAGAACAUAUGUGUAAGUAACUGUGCACAUCUUGACGGUACCUAAUCAGAAAGCCACGGCUAACUACGUG
rnacentral:rRNA from 1 species